rnacentral:lncRNA from 1 species
UUUCUUCUAUUUAGUAAUCAAUUGCUUCUUCAUCGUGUAACUUUUGCUAAAGUCGAGACCAAUAGCACACAAUUAAUCAAUAGGAGUACAAACCAAUAACGGUAAAAUUAUUAAGAUAGAAUCAUACUCAUGUAUUCUAACGGAAAAAAUAAUAACUUGAUAGUCACUUGCCCUCCAUAUACAAUGGUCAUUUGCACCGACACGGAAGCUAGCAUUGCUUGAUUUGGCUAGUGUUGAUAUACGAGGCGGACACACAUGGCUACCUUUGCGUGCAUCUUCUUGGCUUCGACAUACUGGUCGUGUGUUUUUUUCUUUUGCUAUUUUCUAGCUAUUUAACAAUUAGUUGUUACUAUCAGCGUAAUUUGUGUAAUUUUUUAUUUGUUUUUCUGAAUUUUAUAUAUUAGUUAUUUAAAAGGAAUGAUUUUAAAUAAAGUUUAUAUUUUAUAAUAAAAGACGUUUCUUCUUUACAUACCGUUUUCAAAUUAUGGCCUGCUUUUUGAUUUUUGGCCUUUUUCUUCUUAUAGCUGUUGCAUGCCCAAUUGCCCAUGGUAAAUCCCAGCGUGUUGCCUGUUGGUUAUGCAAAGUUGUAGGUAGGCUACGCGUUGUCCUUUUCCCAAUUUGAUUUUUUUUACCGUUCGGAGCACGGUUCAGAGGUGUAGAUAGAUAGAGAUAAUUUCCAAACUGAAGAGGGUCGACUUUAAAAACCAUAAUUCGAGUAGAGAUUGGAGUUGAAGGAAAAAUAUUACGGAUCGAAGCCUAUACGGACUGGAUAGGCGAAAAAAAGAUGUCUGCUGGACUGAAAUUUUCAUAAUUAUAUAUUAGAAGAAAGAUUGUAGAUUUCGUUCAUUUUAAUUUUCUAGACAUAAUUUAUAAUUUUCGGUACCGAGAAUAAAAAUUUGUUAGACAAAAUUAUAAAUCUGACAAAUGUAUUUGAUCAAAGUUAAUAUUGUUUGACUCCUGAUAAAUGAGAAUAAGCAUUCUUUUAGGCACGGACAAAGAAAUUUAUCCACAAACAUGCGUGAAGAUGUGCUGUACAUACUAUGUACCCGUACUCCGUGAUGUACAAAACUAGGACCAGCAGAGGCUAAUUGUCUCUAUAGCAGCAGGCUACAAUAAUUUGUCUCCGUGGUCCAAAACGUGGGAAGCCUGUUAAGUGGUUGUUUGGUUCACAUAUUUGUUCACUUGUCUAAGUUGUAUUUUUUCUAACAGCCAACAGUGUUUUUCUUUCAUAAUAAAUCAGCGAAGAAUAUUUUCAACUAUAACUUUUCAGAUCAGCGAACAUGCUAGUCUCAUUUACUUUCAUUUAGUCAUUUUUUAUCUAAACACUAUAACUAAAUGAGGUUAAAUGGACUUUAGUCAUCUCUAGCAAUUCUGGAAUAACUAAAUAAGACUAAACUAUUUAGAAGGGACUAAAGUUUAGCAGCCCGAAAAACACCCGUGAUGUCCAUCCAUCCAUUAUAUAAGUUGUUGCUAGGCAGCUAGGGUCUUAGUAUUUUCGUUUUAUUUUAGUAAUUAGUAUCUAAUUAUGGAAUCUCUAGAUUUAAAAGAUCCAUCUCAUAAUUUAUAGAUAACUUGUACAAUUAGUUUUUUUAUCUAUAUCUAAUGUUGUAUGCAUGUGUCCAAGAUUUGAUGUGAUAGAUGAAAAGUUUUUAGGUGAAACUAAACAAGGCCCAGGUAUAACUAGGGACGGGAUAGAUAUGCAGCCAACUACGUGACGACAAAAUCUCGAGGAGCUGACACAGAUAUAUGGACUAGAUAGAUUUUAAUAAUAUAAUAGUACGUAUCAAUAAUGUAGGAAAUAAUGGUAUACUAUACUAGUUCAUAGGAUUCAACUGAAUAUUUUUGACAACAACGUCGUAUUGUGUUUGAUACUUCCACGCAACUACAGGUUAUUAGUGGCGUCGGUCCACGAAUGUGUACGUGCACGCCGCCUUUCGUUCAAGAUAUACUAUAUGUUAAUUCUGUAUUUGUUUGUAUAUAUAUAUACGCUUAAUUAUAAGACAGCGAUAGGCAACGGAAUAUAUAUAUACACACACGAAGAAAAAUCGCUGGAGUAAAGAUAGAAGCUUGUGUAGAUAUUCUCGCUAUGGAGUAGUAGUUCCAAUCAUAUAUAUAUUGUGCCGCUGUGAGAAGUAGCCAAUCACCAAACAGGAGUGCUCAGCUCACUGAUGGCACGUCGUCUAUCCGUAGAGGCGUAGACGGGUGCAUGAGUGCAAAUGGACAUGCAUGGUUUCGAGGACUUCCCAACACACCCACAGGGCCACAGCCCACAGGUGAUGUUUGUCUCCAUGUUUCCCUCCUAUUUCCGCUGCUAUUAAUUCUCGUUGCUACGUGUUUGUUUCAGCAGCAGCGGAGCCAUUCGCACAAGGGUCGAAUCCGGAUACCGGAAACGUCGUUACCGCCCACUCCAGGCCUUAUCGGUUUAGGGCAUGUACAAUCUAGAUAGGGUCCGUCUCUAAGACCAGUCGCAAUGUAUAGUUUCAUGGUAGUUACCAAGACUAUAAACUAGGUAACCGAGUCAUAUGAGUUUUAUGAGGAUGAAAACUCCUCUCUCAUCUGAUGAGACUGCUUCAUUUAAUGACCCUGUCAAGUCAGCAAUUUUGCUUAUGUGGCACCUUAUUUAAUGUGCAUGAUACUCUCAUGAAACAUGCAUUGAGAUUGACCUAAGUAUCUCGAAUCUAUGAUACAGACAGAUAUAAAGACAGAUUAUACAAUCCAUACUUGGGGGUUCUAAGGCAUUUAAUAAUUUGCAUGUAGCUAAGAUCAACUAUGGAUAUCAACUUGUAUACCACUGUGUGGCCGUUUGAUAGAAGACAAGUUCAAGUAUAAAUAAGAUGAACAUAAUUAUAAUAUUUUAAAACCACUAAUAUAAUAUAUAUUAUAUAUAAAGAUGAACAUAAUUACAUAAGCACACUCAAAGAGGUCAGUCCACCUAAUAAUCUUGUGCCAUGGAUCCUUGCAUUGCUUUAGAUUCCUUUUCCUACGGGGUGGAGCUGUCUUGUUGUAUGAUUGAACAACAUCAGACCAAUAUUGGUUGCCACCUAUAUUAGCUCCACAGGUCGAAACUGUUGAAUGUUCUAUCCAAGAGCUCAUGCAUCAAGCUGACAUCCUCAUUCUUUUUCCAAGGAAUUUGCUUCUCAGUCCUAGCAUUUUCAUCAUCAGUGUCAACUAGUUCAGGCUACUGCUUGUCCACUCUCUCUACUUCUACUGGUAAAAUUUCUUCAUGGUUGUGAACAGGUGCACCAACCUAAAAAUUGUGUGGCUGGUUUCCAAAGUAACUCAUAAACCCACCAGGUGGGCAUGGGUCGUCUUUAUCCCUGCAGGAAACAUAACAUCACUAAAAUGACUCUAUACAACAUUACUUUAAUUUGCACUAUCUGCUUCUCAUUCACACUAACAAAUAUCAAAUAGUUUAUAAGAAACAGAGCAUUAGUUUCAUUCUCAAACAUUUGCAACAAACAUCAUAGACCUUCAAAAGGAUCUAUGACACUACAUGCAGGGAAUAAAAUAUGUCAUUUGUCAACCAUGAUGAUCUGACCAGGAUGAACACACAUGCAGCCCAUAGCCACCCUCCUGCUAUUCUUCCCCAAAUAAGAUGAAACAAAUUGCAAUAUAUACAACUUAGCACAUUCAGCAGCUACCAAAGCUCUGUUCACAUUCAGAUACAGCUAGCAAGUUCACGCAGGUUCACAUUCAGAUAAUAACUAGCAAAGCUCUAUUCACUAACAGAUAAGAUAGAAUUUCACUAACAGAUAGGAGCAAGUCCAGAUCAAUUCACAGGUCAGGUGAUUAACAAGAUGGAUCCCAAGCUGCUGAGCGCACAAACGAAGGAGAAGCUGGAUCAACGUUGGUCGAAUUCCACCAAGCAGUAGAUGGUGAAGUGGGGAAUGGAAACCCACCGAAGACGAUGGAACCGUCGCAGCACUGGGGAAGGCACCUCCACUAGAUGUACCAAUGGAGAUAGGAGGUGUUGCCAUGCUGUUGCUGAGGGAACAGGAGAUGGGGGUACCCCGGUGCCACCACCGCUGAUCCACUUCCGCGACCUAGGGUUCAGCCCAGGGCAUCCGCGCCCAACGAUGAGCCUCCACCACGACUGAGGUUGUAGUUCGACGCCGUCGAGAUGGCUCCGCGACCGAAGGUGUGCACCGGGAACACCGCUAUCGCUGUCGCCGCAGUUGACGCAACAAUGGGGGUGUCCUUGCUCUUCUUGUUUGUGGAAGCUAGUUUGCACUUCCUCGCUGAGGUGCUAAACAUCGCAGCCACCAAAGGUUGGGGUGCCCGAUUGAGAAAGAAAGCUAGAGUGUUGUGGCUGCUUCACCGGUGAAAUAGGGAUGAGGCAGAGACGGAUUUGGCGGGACUGCUCCCUCCCAUGCGCGCCAAAACUUCAUUAGCAUGCACGCGAGUGCCCCAGAUCCGCGCGCCGUCGAGACAAGGGGACGACUCCUACAAUGCUGCUCGGCUGGUCUCCUUUGCAUCGGUGCAUGGGACGGCUCCGUCGCUUCACGAGACGACGGAAUAGUCGUCUUCAGGCCACAACGGCACAACAGAUUUUUUUUGUAAAAGUACCCACGAAAGGACGGGGUGAAGAGUUUUUAUAAAAGUACCCACGAAAGGACGGGGUGAAGAGCCCCGUUGUACAUACCCUUAUUACGCAACUCACGUGAGAAUGGAUAAAGGAUAUCUUAGGUUGGAUCCUAUGAACUAAUAAGUAUAAUUGAAAGUUUAGUCUUUAAAGAUCUAAACAAAUGAACUAGUUAGUGAGCUAACAACUAGCGAAAGCCUCAACUAAUUGUUACUUCACUAGCAUAUAGAGCCCAACUAGUUGGGCUAAUCACUAAUUCUAGUUCAUCCAAACAGCUCCUUAACCAACCAAACAAAUUGUCGUUUUUCAUUUCAGGCAACAGGUAGGGGCGGCACCCAUUUUCAUUUGCAGUACAGCCCCGAACUAAACAGAGAAAGAGAGACACACAUUUGGCGGCCAAAAAAUCUGGGUUUUGAUCUAUCAUUUUGCAUAAUAAAACUAAACAUCAUGCAAAAAUUUUUAGCAAAAAAAAUUAUUCUUCAUUUUGGAUUUUGGUCUCAGGAGGCCAAAAGCCCAAAAGAGUUACAAGAGACCAUAAUAAGAGCAAUAAAUUCUGUAUUCUAGACAAAACUAAAUAUAACCUUAAAAAUGUUAGUAUUUAGUAUUUUAUCAUUUCAAGGUAGUCGGCAUUUUGCAUUUUGCAUUUUAUGGGAAAUUAAACACCCCCUAGCACAACCAAAUCGUCAACUCCCAACACUGCAGGCUUGAUGGAGCAUCAUUACCACGCUUCGGUUGAAGCUAAGAGCUGCAAAGCAUUUGCCAGUGCCAUUACCACCACCAUUUCAUGUUGCAUGGCUUGACCGGUCGUAAGAGUCCCAUGCACGUCGCAACUCGCACAGGCAUUGCUCUUGCUCGCGGUGCCAUGAUUGCGCCUUUCACAAACUCAUAGUUGAUCAAUUGGAGCACUUGCGAUUAUUGAAUCAUUAUUGUACUACCAUUUAGUAUGAGAUUUGAAAUUUACUUAAUUUAAUUGGAUAAAUAACAGGCCAUAUCUAAUUAAUUAAGUCCAAGAGCUAACAAUUCCAGGCUGUAAUUAAUUGUGCGAGAUGAUGUGUUCCUAGUCCACGAUGACCUUGAGAAGGACAUUGAGGAAGACGAAGGCUGCAAACGAGAUCCUAGUUUCCAUAUCUGCCAGGGAUGGGAUUUCGGUGAGCUAGCUUAAAUAUAGAGUAUUAUGGCAUCUAGAAAUUAACAAUAAUACAGCAAUGCUUUACAGCACUCAAGUGUUUUACAGCAAUUCAACACUCAAUUCCUUUCUGUUCUCUUCCUCUCCCUCUCUUCUUCUCUAACUCUGGCAAGCUUAGAUGAGACUGUGGGAGGCAGGUCGGCCAAAUGGUGGAAACGGCAGGAGGACGACGGUUAGAGUUCCAGCGGUGUAGGAGGCGGUCGAACUAGGUCAGGGCGAGGGCAUCUAUGGCCAUACGACGGUGAGGGGAGGAGAAGAAGAAGGUUGUUGUGGGCGUAAUAGGGUCUCAUCGGAGCUCAAGACCCUACUGCACUGAGGCGGGGCAGUGGACGACGGUAGGGCAUCGGGAGGAGGAAGAGGACGAUGAAGAAAAAAUCAAGUGUUCUCGAGAGCCAAAACACUCAAGCGACAGAUGAUAGAUCCUAAUAUAGAAAUGCAACAAUGUAUCCAAAGUAUGGAGGCACUGCUGUGUUUGUUAUUCCCAUCCUAGAGGUAAUCUUUGGUGUCCACAGGGAGAUAUUUAUUUUGUUCGUGCCUCUCGAGCCUCACCAUAUCAAUUCUAAUUAUGUUUCCGUCUAAUGCUCCGUAUAUAUAAUACGCUAAUAAGAUAGUGAAAUAGACGAAACUGAUCGACACAUUAGGUUUUUUUUACAACAAAUAUUUUUCAUUUGAGCAGCAGGACGCUGCAAUCAGUCUAACAGACUGAAGGUUUACAUCUAUCAGAUGCAUCAGGAAUGGGCACUGAUAGGUAAGGCUCUGAUGAGAGCAUACAUGAUGGAAGAAAGAUUCAACAGGAACAAUAACUGAGAAAGCCUGUCUAUCUAAAGCAUAUGUUGUAUUAUUUAUGUUCCUAUUGAUUUUGAAGAUCAUGGCAUGACAUUGAUCACCUGUGUUCCUGAACAUCUGGGUGAAAAAGGUUUUAUCCUCCAGUCUACAGGAUGUUCUUGGUCAUCUUCAUGUAGGAAUUGUACUAGCUGCUGGUUAUUAGUGAGAAAGGUGGUGUCAGUGAAGUUGAGUCGUUCACUAACAACUGCUGCUAGAGCAAGUGCUACAACUUCCGCCAUGAGGACUGAGUGGACUUCCAAGGCUUGUGCUGUGAUGUAGAUGGUUUGUGUGGUUGUACCUAUGGAUUGACAAAAAAUCCCAAGUCCUAUAGCUAUAUACUGCCUGGUUGGUUGGUCAUACCUUAAGGAGGCAUCAAUGAAGCAUCUGACUCCUUGGAUGAGCUCCAAUAUAGAGAUGAAGUAUUUGUCUGUCUAAGGUGAAGCUCUUGCAUUAGAUGUGAUAAUACCUGGUGAAGUCGGGGUGGCUUGAUUUGUGAGCAUCAUUUUCUAGGGGGUUUGUGCUUGUUGUUCCUCCAUAGGGUGUGAGGUGCAGGUUCCUCCUGUUGGUGCUGCAUGUGAUCAGGUGCAGGCGUCUCCAUCUGUUGAGGUGUGUGGCUGUGAUCCUACGAAGUAAUAGCAAUGGCAGUUUGCGUACCUUGUGCAGUCAUUUGUGGGGGUUGAGGUGGGAUAAGUAGAGUGUCGGUUUGGUGGCUGCUAAUGUGGGCUACGACCACAUGGUGUACCUGCCAUGGAGUCCAAGUUUUUCUGUGAAAUCAAAUAUCAUUCCUAGCUUUCCACAAAUACCAGAAAGUGAUUAGUAAUUUGUUGAAUACAGUAGAUGGGAUGGCGGCGGGGAUGAAGCUUGGUAGGAUUAGUUGCACGCCAUUAGUAUCUUGAGGUAAAUUGUCAGUGCAAAGAAGGGGAUUUGAUGAGAAUACUGUUGUGGGAGGUGAUAGUGGAAGAAUAGGUGGGCAUCAUCCUCCACCACGCCAUAGGAACAUAGUGCUUGUCUAUGUGGGGGAGUAUCUCGCUGCUUGUUUUGUUGUAGCUAGGGCUCUUUUGAUGAGUCUCCAAGUGAAGGAUUUAACUAGAGAUGGUGGCUCCUUACUAUUCCAUUCUCUCUGCAUAAUGGAGUUAGCAUGGGGUCCACCUCAAGAUGUCAUGACCAUCACUAUGAAUAGUUGGUGUUACAGUUAUGACCUGUACAUCCUAAGCAUCAAAGAUGUUAGUGAUGAGGUGAACAUUCGUGUUAUGGGAAUUUGGUUGCUAAAGAUUAGAGAAAUGGUUGGCAUUGGAGAUUGAGUAGCUAGCAGGAUCAUGUGGUCAUGGAUAGAGUUCCGAAUGGGCACCAAGGGGUGGACCAUAUAGAACUGUUACUUGAAUGGAUCUAGUAGACAGAGUUGGAGCGAAGUUUAGUUUUGACCUACAAAAUAGAAGACCAGAAGAUUGAUCUAGGACCAGUGGUGUUGGCUUUCCAAAAGGAGGUGUUGUGGAACUAUUUAGCCUUAAGGACAGAGGUGAGCAUGGGGUUUUUAUUAGUAGCAAUGUUUGCCAAGACCCCCAUUCUUCUUGGGCUAGCAAAUGUCUUCCCAAGACAUGAACGCAAUGGGAGAUGUAGGGUUGUCUUUCUAGACUCUAGUGCACCAAAAUUUCCUGAUUAUAGUGUUGAUUUUACCUAUCAUAGUAUUAGAAAAUAGCACAGUACACAUGUAGUAUACAGGGACCAAAGCUAGGACAGAUUUGAUGUAAGUCAGUCUCCCUGCAUGAUUAAGCUUGUUAGCUUUCACAGUAGUUAACUUAGCUCUAAAUUUUUUAAGAAUAAACUCAUAAACCUUAUUCCGAUCAUUACGAUUAAAAUAAUCAGGUGGCCCAAGGUGCAUGCUAUUAGGAAGGAGGUCAGGGGUAGGAAAGAUGUUCCUGAUAUCAUUUCUAGUGGUCAAAGGCACCUUUUUACUAAAAAGGAUUGAGGACUUCUAAAGAUUGGGAGUUUGCCUAGAGAGGUGGCAAAAGUCUUGUAAAAUGUCCCAGAUUUUGGUGGCUUCAAUGAUGGAGGCCUCGCCACAUAAGAUUAGAUCAUCAACAAAGAGAAGAGAGUGAAUGGGAGGGCAACUAGGACCAAGGGAAAUGCCCAAAAAAUUGGAGUAAUGAGUUCAGUUUGAAGGUGAAUGGAUAGCUCAUUGGUGGCCACAACAAAAAGACAAUGAGAGAGGGGGCAGCCCGGGCGAAUACCAUGAUGGGGAGUGAAGGAGGUGGAAGGCUCUCCAUUGAUAAGGAUGGAGAAAGUAGUAGUGGAAAUACAAGCUUGAAUGAGGUUGGUGAAAUUGGAGGGCAGCCCAAGACGAUUUAGAGAGUCCCAAUUCAGACAAUCAAACGUUUGGCCAGGUCAAGCUUGAGAUAAAAAAGCUUGCUGGUUCCAGUUUUUUAGGUUGGAAGAGAUGUGCCUGUGUUUUGAUGAAUGCAACUUAAGAUUAUUGAGUCAAUCGACAGCAACUUUGGCGUUUAGUAGAACACAGCAUGGUGCCAAGAUGAUACUACGAUGUCAGCAAAAACUUGUGGGAUCCACCAUUUAGUAAACGAUUAAAGAAAUUUUGAUUUCUUUUUUGUCGUUUCUGCACACCUCCAUGCCUACCAUACGUGUACUGUGUUGUUUUCAGUGGCGGAGGCAGCUGGCAAGGUUCGGCCUCCGCCGUACCUAAAAUGUAUAGAAAACACUAGUAUAUUAUGUGUAUAUACGGUUAUACACGUGAAAUAUACAUGGCUUAGCCUCUGCCACUGUGCACGAAUAGAUUUUGUUUGUGGGCUGGUAUCUCGUGGGCUUACACGACUACGAGCCCGUUCGCUUCUUAGCUGUACUUUUUUUCAGUGAUUUUUUUUUGACCAGCGAAUAGGCUCUAUGUCAAAAGCCCACGACACUAUCCAUAGAAGGAAGCAGCUCAUUGGUCUUCCUGCCUUCCUGGCUGGUCGACUACUCCAGGUUUUAGUGGCCGACUUGUUUAGUUUCAAUUUUUUUUAGCAAAAUAGAUACUGUAGCACUUUUGUUUGUAUUUAACAAAUAUUAUUCAAUUAUAGACUAACUAGGCUCAAGAGAUCUGUCUCGCAAAUUAUAGACAAACUGUAUAAUUAGUUAUUUAUUUUAUUUAUAUUUAGUGUUUCAUGCAUGCAGUGGCGGAGGCAGGAUUUUUGCUUGGGAUAUGCCAAACAAAAAGUUUUCAUAUACAAAUCGGUAAAAUCUAUUUAGCAAUUCGGUAGAAUUUUAUAAAAAAAAUGUCUAACAAUUCGGUACACAACUGUUAAGGCCUUGUUUAGUUCCAAAAUGGACAUUGUAGUAUUUUCGUUUGUAUUUAAUAAAUAUUAUCCAAUCAUAGACUAACUAGGCUCAAAAGAUUUGUUUCGCAAAUUACAUGCAAAUUGUGCAAUUAUUUUUUAUUUAUAUUUAAUACUUCAUAUAUGUGCCGCAAGAUUCGAUGUGACAAAGAAACUUUCAAAAUUUUGCUAAUUUUUUGGGACGUAAACAAGGCCUAAAUGGCAUAAGUCGUGCGUCCAUGGUGUGUUUGAAAGGAGCGUCCGAGAGCAGGUGCGAGACGAAUACCGAGGUCUUGUUUAGUUCUUCUAUGGUCUCCAAUGGGAGGGUUAGCUGAUCCACAUUAGUUAACCACUACUCCACAUUGGGCAAAGUGAUUUUGUUAACGCACGUAGCCACGGUAAAUCAUAAUUAAAGAGCCAUCGUGAUCAACUUUCAUUAUGUGAGCUUGAACAAAAUGAUCAACAUCAAGAGUUGGCCUACAAAUAAUUGUAGAGCUUUGCUAAAUUUCCACACCCUUUCUCCCACUCCAAAAAGCCAAAGUGCUCAAUCCUUAAGCAAAUCAUUCCACCAGGAGAACAAAAGCAAUGUUGUGGUGAUCAACAUCAAGGUAUAUCUGUAGAGCUUUGCUUUUACCGGUUAACGUGCAAUAUGAGUGCACAAUUAUGUUUAGGAUAGAUUUAUUAAGCUAAUAUUGUUAUCUAGUGCCACUAGGUGGGGACUAACAAUACACAUGUGUUAGACUCAGUGACAUGGUGAGGAAGCAAGUGAAAACCUUUGAAAAUGCAAACUCAGUGCUAAAGGUGUUAUUGUUCCGUCUGCCACAUUUGGGAGAUAUCAUAUUUGAAAAAGGGUUUAAGAGAGGGGCUUGGUGAGAUGGUUUGAAUAGUCACUAGAUAAGUCCGGUGGUCAUCAGAGCUUAGGCACACCCACUUUACUAGUCUAGUCAUCAGGCUGUCUCACUCUGUAGUGGGCCACCAAAAAUAUCCAUGCCUCUAGGUCCGAGCACUAAAGUUUAGGCUCCUUCACUUUGGGAGAGAAGGGGACGCUGGACACGAGGCAACAAUCGGCAAUGGCUGCAAAGCACACAAAGUUUAGAAGGAUAAAGGAAGACGACUAGAGGAGGUUAAAUAGUCAUUUCUAUAACUAAAUCAUGAAUCCUAGGCAAAUAAAUAACAUUAAUAAACUAUUUGUCACUUCCCACUAUAACAGCAGAAAUAAAACAACAGAGAUAAUCUAUUUUCAUAACAAUACAAUAAAAGGUACAUGACUCAUUAUUUCCAUGAUGAUUCCAUCCCUACCUGCGAGCGUGGAAAGCCUAAAAAGCCUCUCUCCACGGCCUUCCUAAAAAAAGCCCACCUGGCCACCUGUAGUUCAAUAUAAGCUACUGGAGAAGCUAGGCGUUUGGUCCAUCUCGAACCGCUUUUAAAGCUAAACAGCCCAAUAACCCAUUUCAAACAAGGUCGAAGCCCAAUGAGGCAGGUGGCCCAAAACCUGACCCGAUUCUCUCCCAAUUCUUUUUCCUCGUGUUGGAAUCGGAAUUGGAAUUGGAAUUUGUACGUAGUGGCGGCGAUAUCUGGUUCAGAGUGGGUGUUGAUUCGUGGAGAGCAGCUGGUCGGGCCCAUCCGCGCAGUUGGCUUGGCUUGGCCGCUGCCGCCCGUGCUCGCACCGGCCGCCCCACCUCCAUCUUCCCAUGGUGGUGGUAUCAUCCCCCCCCUUUCCUCUUCCUCCUCCCCACGUGCAACCACCUAACCCCUCUCCCACCGCCCUCCUCGCCUAGCCCGCCGCCACAGCGGCCGUCGACGAGCGCCAUGCCCGCCGCGGCGUCCACCUCCGCGACCUCGCUGCUGCUGGGCGGCGGCAGGCUCCCGCGGCUCCAGCUCCAGUCCCUCCGCGCCCCCGCCAAGCCCCCCUUCCGCCGCCCGGCCUCGUCCCCGUCCACACCGCUCCCCAGAUGCCGCGCCAGCGCGAGCCCCCGCCCUCUGGGCCCCGUCUCCGCCUCCGCCCUCGCGCUGCCCGUGUCGGUGACGGCCGCUCCCCCACCGCAGGUGGAGGAUGGUGGCUGGGUGGGAGGCGCGGCCGCGGCCGCGGCCGUGAGGAGAGUAGCUGUGGCGGUGGCGUGCGGGGCGCUCGCGGCGGCGUGGUGCCGCCGGGCGAUGGCUGUGGGGGCGGCCACGGCGGCGGGAGCGGGAGCGGGGGCCGGGGCCGGGGCGACGGGGGCGGUGGAAGCUGCCGCGGGGAUUGGAGGGAUGGCGCUGCACGGGGGCUGGCCGAGAGUGCUGCAGAUUCUGCAGCUGCUCAGGGAGCAGGGCCUGGUUCUGGCCGCGCUGCUCGGCCUCUCUGCGUUCUUCUCCAUGGCAGAAACUUCUAUCACGACGCUUUGGCCUUGGAAGGUGCGUUCAGCAAGUCUACGGAGACCCAUUUUCUUAAACUCCUGUUGUUGCCAUAGUAAUUACUGUACGUACGCGAAAUGAACUAUGCUUCCAGUUUUGCAAUCGGUUUGGUUCACUGAGCUACGAGGUAGGAUAUUGGGAGAUUUUUGGAUACUUAGAUGAGCAGAUUGGUAUUGGUGUAGUGUUGCUGCUAAGAGGGGAUGCUGAGAUGGGGUGAGUGUCUUAUGGGUACGUCCUUGUAUCAACUACUAUACUCAUUCUAAAUGGGUUUAUGCAAUGAGUAUUUGUAUGAACAAAGCAAACGGAUACGCACUAGCUUAGGCUGUUGGGUUGGGCUGUGGCAUGUGUGGGUCGAGGAUGUGGCGGUUGUCAUGCACAUCCUGCUUCAGCAGUGAUGUGAUAAUUUUGUCUCGCUUGCUGAUGACAUAAUCCACAGCACAAGUUUGUAUUUGAGAAGUGAUGUCACUGCUGGGAGUGUUGCUGAAAGACAUGGGGAAAGCAUUAUUGCUCCUUCCUUUUUUUUGUAGGAUAGAGGGCUGAGCAGCAGGCAUAACUGAUUGACAAGCUGACAACAGCAAGGUGCUUCAGAUAUAAUGACAGUGUGCACAUGCGCUUUAGUGACAUGUUGUGCUAGUGAUCUGUAGGAGAAUUAGGCAGGGAAUCUAUGCAAGGAAAGUUUUUAUUAUUUUGAAACUGGAACUAAUGACACUGGUAUUGGAUUACCGGUCUUACUGACUUUAUAUAUAAUCUCCCUUCACACCUAAUCUCAUCAACUGGAUAGGUAUUUCUGGUUCAGAAUAUUUAUAGCUUUGAACAGAACAUUGGUGCUCUUGUAACUAUCAUUAAAGGGGUCCUGCCUCUUUGUUCAUGUUUAUCAACAUUUAAAUUCAAUUCUAAUUCUUCAAAGACUACAACAAGGUGAUCAAUGUAAAUUGAUGGCUGGAUUCGGUUAAUCACAUGUUGAACUUGCAUUUUAUUUUUAGUAGAGGUUUAUUUGCAAGCACAGGAAUAAUGAAGCCCUAGGUUUAGUGCAUUUUUUCCCUCCAGAGUUGAGCCUAAGGAUUCAAGUUCACUGACACUUAUCAUUGUGGGUUCAAGCAUUUGCACACAUAUUAGCAUAUUGAAAUGGCUAAAGUAUUAGAGGUUGGUGCUAGAGUCUUUCCAUAACAGCGCACUUGGGACUGAAGUUUGAUUCAUGCAAAAUUUUUCAAUUGAAUCAUGCUUGAUGUUCAAAAACUAGCAAGAAUCAUAGAAAUAGCAACACUGUAUUGUGUAAUAGGUUGCAUACCUUUUCCCCCUUUGCAUUUGUUUAUUUUUCUAACGUUGUUUGGAAAUUGCCACAUCAAGGCCUAAUUUUCUAGUGAUCUGCCUAGCGCCCAAUAGCUAGCUAGCCUCUCUACUCAAGCAUUGAGGCAUCACCCCCUUCUACCCACCUAGGGCAUUUUCAGAUCAGUGUUUUGAAACUUUGCUUCGUAGUGGUACUCUUUUCUUAUUGUAACUGACUGUAUGCUGAGAGCGAAUAUCUAUAUGCUGAGACUUUGCUGAUUUCUUUUUUCCUUUGCAUUAGGUUCGUGAACUAGCUGAGAAGGAACCUGAGAAUGGUGUUUUCAAAAUGCUCCGAAAUGACGUCACUCGUUUCCUGACAACUAUUCUCAUUGGCACAACGUAAUCCAUGGCAUUUCUAAGUUGUGCAUCACUCAUUGCAAUUUUGUUUUACUAACCCUAAACCCUAAUCUCGGGCAUAAUUUGUAUGAAAUAGUGUGGUCAACAUUGGCGCAACAGCAAUUGUUACUGAGGCAGCAACAGCAAUGUUUGGUGAAGCAGGUGUUAGUGCAGCAACAGGUGUCAUGACAGUAUGUCUCCUGUCUCAUACUGGCCUUCUGCUCUUGUGUAAGUGUUCUUUAAUCUAACUAUGGAGCACCAUUUUUUAGGUUGCCAUCUUACUUCUUACAGAGAUCACUCCCAAAAGUGUUGCAGUCCAUAAUGCCACCGAGGUCGCUAGGUUUGUGGUAAGGUGAGAGAUAUCAAGUAUAACUUAGUUUCAAACAUGUUUAUUUUGAGUACUGAACAUUGUGCAUUUGUUGCGAUAUAUCAGACCGGUCGCAUGGCUUUCGCUGAUCCUCUAUCCAGUUGGGCGGAUUGCUACUUUUCUGUCUAUGGGAAUGCUAAAGAUUCUAGGCCUGAAAGGGAGAAGGUAAGACUGUAAGAGUAUGUAUAAUACUCUAGUUCUUGAUCAACUAGAAGAUAAAUUCUUUGAAAAUAUGCCAACUCAAUAAGCUCAUGUUAGUCAUAGAUUAUAUCCCCCAUUAGUUAUGAUAUGCUUUCAAGAAGGAUACACAAACAAUAAAUUAAUUCAUGCCACAAGAACCACACAGAACUCUUUUUUAAGAGCAUAUGGCUUGCUCUGCGUAGUGGAUAUAACCAGGGAAGCACAAGGAUUGAGUUUCUAGGUGUGUGUGGGUUCUGCUCAGGUGGGCAACUCUAGCUUCAUCCAUCUGUAUCUUUUUCUUGAUGAAAUGGCAUGCAGCUCUUUUGCGUCAUUCGAGAAAAAAUAACCAGGGAAGCACACUGAUUGAGUUCCUGGUUCCUGCCAAAUAAAAUCUCACCUGUUUUCUUUUAAAAAUGGAUUAAACUUGUAUAUUACUAGAAUUCAAGUACAAAUGAGAUGGUACAACAUGGACUAGAUUAGACUAGUUUGAGUAUGUGUUGAGUCUAGUUUAUAGGGUGAUAGUUGUACUUUCUAAAAUUUCUAUAAUUAGUAAAUAGUGCAGUGACUAUAUUUUUAAUCAAUAGAUGACCGUUGACACUAUUCCAAGAAUUGCAUAUCAUCUGUUAUUGUUCAUGAAGGAUCUAAUUCUAGUUUGAAUUUGCUAGAAACUUAUUGAUUGCUUUCUGUAUAAUUUAGUUUACAAAUUGAAUUUAGUAUCUGAUAUUGUAAUACAAUACACAUUUGUAUGUUAUUUUUUGCAUUUUUUUUACAAAAUCCAGUACUCAAGUACAUUGAUUUGCUAUGUCUUUUAGUUACUACAUUUGUAUAUGUUUAACCAAUAUACAAUUGAGAUUCCUAUAUAGAUAAGAUUUAGUUUUUCUUUUUCAUAACUCUUGACAUUUCUGGAGAUCUACUUCUGAAUCUUGUGCAUCAUAUACACUUCUUUCCUCAGUGAACCAUAUGUUACUGAAGAUGAACUGAAGUUAAUGUUACGAGGAGCAGAGUUGAGUGGUGCAAUUGCAGAAGAUGAACAGGUUAGACAAUCUAGUAUAUGGAGAUGCCCAUAUAUUGUGCUGCAUAUUUCCUUCUUUAUUCUUUAUGUUUCUGUGUACCUCACAGCAAGAUUUUGUUAUCCAGUGCAAUCUAGGCAAAGCCUUUACUUACAAUUUUUAUAUCAUAUAGAAAGCUGACUACUUACAUAAAUAAAGAGUGAAUUAAUGAAAUUUCAGGAAAAUAGUAACUAACGUUUUUGCAUGAUUUUAACUGCUAAUUUAAUGUUUGUACACCAUCUCAUCACAUAUAUCCAGAAUUUGAAAAGCAGUAUGGCCCCAAAGGUUUGAGUUAGAUUAUACUGUUGCAGACUAGGAUUUUGCCUCUUGAUAGUUUACUAGCACACUUUGGCUACUUCUUUGUUUUCUUGAAAACGCAGGAGAGCUGCACUUCAUUAUAUUAAGAGGAUAAAGGGCAAGAGCCCGAACAACCCCACAAACACCAUACACACACCACACACAUCACACACUCACGCCCCAACAGAAAUGUUACAUUCGCGCCCGUAAGAAAACACACAACGCGACCACUACUAGGCUAAACAUUUCUAACUAUCGGGGAGGAGGGCAGUCAAGAAUGAUAGCUCUCGAGCUGCUGCCAUAGACCAUAAACGGCGCUCCUCGCCUGCUAUGAUCAGAGCGCCAGCAAGGUUUGGAGCUGCUCCAUCAAAGACACACCCAUUGCGAUGGUUCCAUAUAGUCCAAGCUCCGAGCAUAACAAGAGAAUUAAUUCCUUGCCUUGUCAGCCCAUCAGCAGUGCUGCUAGCCUUCUCCCACCAAGCAUGGAAGGAUAAUUCUGUAAGCUGAGGGGACAAAAGCCUGAUUGAACCAAAAUUCUCUUGUGAACACACAAUGGACAAGUAGAUGGUCGAUAGUCUCCUUUUCAUGGUCACAAAGGAGGCAAUUCUCCGGAUGAGGUAACCCUCGGCGUGCUAGACGAUCAGCUGUCCAGCACUUAUUGUGCGACCAGCCACAUAAAGAAACGGCAUUUGGGCAGCACCCAUGAUUUCCAAAUCUUUUCCCAUGGUCCAAAAAGAGUAGAUCCGAAAAAGAAGCCUUCAUAUGCCGAUUUAGCCAAGUAUUGUCCAUUAGAGGAGAGCCUCCAUAGGUGCUGCAGCUGAAAAUCCAGAAGUAGAUCCCACCAUAAGUGAAAGUAGUCAACAAACCCACCAACUGUGAGCGCUCCUUGUAUGUCCAAAAUCCAAGCCCGGUUAGUAAGGGCAUCCUGGACAGUAUGCUGCUUAACCCUCCUUUUAGGAGUAGCCACAAAAAGUCGAGGGGCAAGAUCUGCAAUGCAUUGCCCAUUGAUCCGAUCUGUCCAGAAAAGAGUGUUUGCACCAUCCAAUUUCAGAAGUUACUGCCACUGAGUAGAAGGCUCUUACUUGCUUCGGCACAUGGAAUGGUAGAGCAGCCCAAGGACAAUGAGGUUCUGUUUUCUGCAGCCAAACCCAUCUCGUGCGCAAGGACCAGCCAAGGGUUUUUAAAUCUGAAAUUCCCAGGCCUCCAAGCUCUGGUGGGCCACAGACUUUGACCCAAGCCACAAGACAAUGACCACCUUUUUGCAUAUUUUCGACCCCUCCAAAGAAAGCCACGCCAAAUUUUAUUUACCACUUUGAUAGCCAUGGAGGAAAGUCGAAAGCAAUAGCUAAGUAAAUGAGCAUUCUCAGUGAGAACUGAUUGUACUUGAACCCUUCUUCCAGCCCUUGUCAUUAGGUCUGCCUUCCAGCCAGGAAGUUGAUCUGCAGUACGAUCAAUAAUAGGCUGCACUUGUUUCUUUAGGGAGAGGGGCAGACCUAAGUAUUUGCAUGGGAAAUCCGAGAGGGGCACACCUAGCUAGUUUCUUUGGCUACUGUUAUCCUUUAGGUAUUUUGCAGAACCUUUCCAUAGCAAUCCCAUUAAUCUUUAGGAAGCGAUCCCAUUUGUUAAAGCCCCUGCAGGCAACUUUCAAGUUCAUUAUUCUCGAUCACAGGUAGUCAUUCUGCAUAUUUUUCCCUCAGAAUCAUCAUAAGAAUUGGGUUAAGUGGAUAGGUCAGACUAUAGCAUGGAAAUACAUAAGUACUGAUAGGUUGUUGAAACUAUCUAAGACUACAGAUUUAUCGUGUCAAUUUGUCACAAAUAACAGAUUUUAGCUGAUGAAAUCAGUACUUCUGCAGUACAUAGAAAUACUAAAUGUGUAGUUUUAGUUUUGCAAAAACAAGGACACUAAAUUUAUAAUUCUGUGAUAAAACUUCUUAAAUCUGUAGUUUUGUGAUAGCAUAGCCCACUCACACAUAUACAAAAAAAAAGAAAAAGAAAAAAAGGAACCAUAUAGUUAUUUAUGUGCUUAGAUUCUAGGCCCUAGAACUAGAACCUAUAGCUGUGUUACACUAUUAUGAAUUCCUAGUCCGUGCCUGCUUGUGCAGGACACUUUUCUACUUGAUCAGCUAAAGUCAGCACCUGAGUCUUUUAACAGGAUAUGAUCGAGAAUGUCCUGGAAAUUAAAGAUACACAGGUGAGGGAAGUAAUGACGCCUUUGGUGGACGUAGUUGCAAUUGAUGCUAUUGCAACACUUAUUGAUUUCAAAAACUUGUGGGAAACUCAUCAGUACUCUAGGUAUUGUCAACUAUUAUUGUCGCGUGUAUUUUCAAGUCUUAUCACUGACAUCUGCUGCUAUUUGUUAUUUCCAGAGUUCCUGUAUUUGAGGAGCGCAUAGAUAAUAUUGUUGGAAUUGCAUAUGCAAUGGACAUGCUUGAAUAUGUUGAAGAGGUAUGUCUCUUGUUUACCAUUUAAUGUAAAACUUAAUCACAGUGAGUCUUAUUUGCUCCACAUGAUGCUUCUCUAAAGGGAAAGUAAAAGGUGUAUUUUUCUUUUGAAGGUUGAGAAGCUGAAUGAAAUCACUGUUAAGAAAAUCGCACAUAUGCCUACAUACUUUGUUCCAGGUAAUUUUUAGUAACAUUGUUGGAUACAAGUAUCAUGAUGAACUAAAAGAAGGCAUCUGUCAGUAGUUAUAGGGUUGGAUGUUUUUCCACAACAAUUAAUCAUUUCUGCCACAUGUUUUCUCCCAUCUAUGCAUCAUGGAUGUAACAUAUGAUACUGUUUCAUCUGGCAGAUUCAAUGUCUGUUUGGAACCUAUUAAGAGAGUUCCGGAUCAGGCAGGUUCAUAUGGCAGUGGUCCUUAAUGAAUAUGGUGGAACUAUUGGUGUAUGUCCCUAUGAAACCCAUUUUUUAUACUUUACAAACUGGACACAGUUUAGUACUUGUUAAUAUUCUUGUUAUGCUUUCAUCCAAGGCUAGUUGCUCAAUUGAGACCAUUUUGACUUAUGGCACACAACGAGGUUCAACAUUGUUUACUCCAAUCAAUUUUUAGUUGUAACUUCCAAGCAUGCUAGUUAGUUUGCUAAUAAUUGAUGAAUGCUAGUCAGUACAUGGUGACAUUUUGAUGGCCAUUUAUUGGCAACACUACUGGCUUUUGUUCCACAAUGGUCGUGUUUUUAGCACAAGCAUGUGGUGCGAUGCUUCAAGUGAUCUUGCUGCACAGCUUAUGUAACUGCAGCAAUGGGGCACUUUUCAUCUGUUGCAGUAGCAGUCCCUGUUGUUCAUGGUUUGUUUCCUUUUAAGAUAUACCCCACACAUAGAGAUUAGUUAUGCUCCAUGCAGCAGAGAUUAUUACUUUCCACAAGUUUAGAGAUUGUUUCUUAGGAAGUAGUUAUGCUCACAGUUUGUUCAUCAGUUUCUGUUUUCAGAAGUAGUUGAUGAGCGAUGAACAUGUUUUGAUUAUGUUUGCUGCUGAAAGGAUAAUUCUUUAAGAUGUUUUUCUCAUUACUGAUGCUCAUUGGUAAAAGUUGCAAAUGAUUGGACAAAGCUACUACCCGUGAGCUUCCUUUGUCUCACAUACCCUUCGAGCAAUUACGCUUUAAUGUAGCAAUAUCUAUCCAUUACUUGCAGCAACUAAGUCCUAUUGUAUUCAGAAAUGUUUAUUAGAACAGUUUGUAAUUUCAUAUGUUUAUCACUGCAUGGGACAUUGGGAAUUACUCUGACCUUUGGCCAAAAAAAAAUGCAGAUUGUAACACUAGAAGAUGUAGUGGAAGAAAUAGUUGGUGAAAUAUUUGACGAGAAUGAUUCCAAGGUGAUUAUUUCUGGAAUUUUUUAUUUCAAAUCGCAAGUGGGUGUUCAGUGCCAUACAUAUGCAUGCUAUUAUUUUCUAUUUCUUUUUCAAAAUUAUUUCCCCCUUUCUUUUGGUUUAUUAUUCCCUUUUUGCCUUGUAACUAUCGUUCUUAUAUUACAUAACUGACUUUUCAUAUGUUGGUAAUAAAUAAUGAUAUGCUAGCAUUUGAACUUACGAAAUUUAGUGGGCCAAACAUACUGAGCCAUGCCAAAAAAGACAGGCAAAUCAUACAGUCAUAUUUUAGCAGCAGCAGUGCAUUAGCGCGGUGGGUACUGAGCCGGAGUUUGCAUGUGCCUGAAGGUGGCUGAAUGAAUAAGGUGGAUAUUACCCUACCCGCACCCAAAUCAAAAUGUGUAUUUUAUUUCUACCCAUACCCUCCCCAAUUAAUGCGGGUGUGGAUUUGAAUAUGGGGAUUGAAUAUCCAGCGGCAGGUAUAAAGAUUAGAUCUCCUGCCUCAGUGCUUCUCCAAGAUCUGGAAGCAGCUGCUUCACUCCUAUUUUCUGUAUCCUAGUCAAAACAAAGGAUUUUUCCAUGUAGCAAGCUAGUUGCUCUUUGUCAUUUGCUUAGGCAGUCUCUCAAUUCCUUCUGCUACUCUGUUUUUCACCCUUUCAGGAGGAAAUCCAGAAGAAAACAGGCUAUAUAGUGAGGCGGGGAGAUGGAACAUUUGAUGUUGAUGCAAAUACAUCAAUAGAUCACCUCUCUGAAGAGCUUGGUAUCAAAAUACCAGAGGUAUUGUUUCUCAUUUGAUCUUAGCUUUCUCUACAGUUGCUAUGCAUUCCCUUGGACAUGUGUAUAUUUAAGGAAGGUAUGGCUCGGAAAAUAGUAGAUUGAUUAUGAGUAGUACAAAAGGGUAGGCAAGGAUGAUCUGGGAUUUAUAGAACAAUACCCAAUCAGGGAGAUCCUUGCCUAAUAGCUAAUCAACUACAUAAAACCCAUGGAGGCAGGCUUAGGUGCCAGGGCCCAUGCGGCCAGCCCAAUAGCCCUCUGGAAACUCCAUUCUAACAUAUAUGUUGGAGUGGACACUGUAUGAUGAUCAUCGAAAUGUGAGUUCCAUCAUUUAGAGAUGCCUGGUUUGCAGAACCUAUACAGAUAUAACGUUAUUAUAUCUAUUUUUUGGUGGAAACUGGACAUUUAAUAUUUAGGUCAACAAAAUAUUCACAAAUGUUCUGUUUGUAAAAUAUGCCCUUGGUAGUCAUCAUUUAUAUGGUGCUCUGUAUUUCUGUCAUGUUUCUCGUAGAUUGGCUGAUAAUCUUGAGACACUUGGACACUAUCUUUUGGCAGGGGCAUCAGUAUGAGACGGUGUCUGGUUUUGUCUGUGCAUCUUUUGGCUAUAUUCCAGAAGAAGGUGGGAAAAUGCUUGUGAUUCUUGAAAAGGAUUACAGAGAAGAAAACGGUGAAUAUCAGGAGGAAGGUUCUGAUCGCCAAGAUGAUAGAGAAAAAACUCAAGCUUACGAACUUGAGGUAAUUGUUACAACUCCUUGUGUACUCUGUUUGCUCAAGAGUUCUAGUACCAGGUCAAUUAUUAUAAUGCGAUUAUCUUGUCAUCGCUAGAAAUCUUUACUAGUAUAUAUAACUAUUAUGAAUUUUCCUUCAUUACUUGAAAGCUGAAAGACACCACAAAAGCUUCAAUUUUCUUUGUUGAUGCAAUACCAUGAAACCUUUUUUGUUAAAUAACUCUCAUUAGAACCAAUUUUCCAUACAGGGCAUUUGGUUCUUAGAUCAUUUUAUAGGAUAUUUCGUACUAUAAGUAAGAACCAACUACUAUCCACAAUUACCUCUACAUGCUUGUUUGUGCAUAUAAAAAGACAACAAUACUCAGAAGGUUGCUGUAACAUGUCCACACUCCGCUUUUGUGGUGCUAAUACUACCGAACAUUUGUAAUUGCUUUUUUUAUUUGAAGCUAAAAAAAGAAAGUAUACAAAAACUAAUAGAUAAGAAAACCAACUACUCAAUUGUCAAUUCAGAAUUCAUACUGUGGGUUAUAAGGUUAUUUCAGUGAAAUUGUUUUGGUAUUGGUACACAACCUUUAUUAGUUGGUGCAACUCCCAUUUCCGGAAGUCUUCGUACACUUUAAUUGAAUUGCUGCAGCCCUAGGAAUCCAUAGUUUCUGUUUCACAAUUCACCCAAAGUUUCAUUCUUUGUUGCAGAAUUAAAUAACCUUCUGUAGUUGUUUUCACUACCUUUAUUACCUGGCUUCUCUUGCUCACAGAUAGUGGAAGCUAAUGCAAGGAAGGUGGGCAAAGUCCUAUUUAAGCCAAUAAGCAGUGAAUGUGUUGGUGUUGACAACAAGGGUGUGAACCGCCUGGUCUCCAAGAAGAUCAUCAAACGGAAGAAGCAGGGCUAUGAUGAUUCCUCCGGUGACGAGUAUCCAGAUACAACAGAGAAUGGCUGCCCUGCUGAGGCACUCUCCUACUCGGAUGGUAACAGUGCCUUGUUGGAAGAUGCAAGCAGUUCUAGUGCCAAGAGGUGACAAUAAAGGAACUCCAAGACCAUCGUACUACUGGUAAUAAUUACAGCACACCGUCACCGGUCCUAAUACCCCUUGUUACAACAGAAGAAGAUGAGAAGAACAUAGUAGUAGGCUACCCAAAAAAAAAAACUGCGAGAGCAACACCAAGAGGUUAACAGCAGUUUAAGGCAUUGCAACAUUUUUCAGUAGCAGGAGUAGCAGUAGUAGCAGUCUAGAGGUGCAGCGAGGUGUCGACGUCGACUUCACCAGAGACAUGUUUGUAGUUGUAGGUCUUACUGGGCCACAGCUCCACCGCAAUGGGGUCGCUAUCGCCGUGGAGCUGGAAGCUUUUGCAUUCACAGACAGUGGUUGGCACGGCCGGGAAUAAGGAGGCUGCGGCGGCAACAGCGGCAGUGGUUUCCCGCAGCGGCCUGCACGGGUAGAGCAGCUCCGGGUGGAAGAACCACUUGACGGGCAUCUCCCUCGGGGAGGCGGUGGCCGCAGGGCGGGGGGCGAGCACGUGGAGAAGCCUCUCCUCCCGCUUCUCCCUGAUCCUCUCCAGCUCCCUGAACCUCUGCUGCAGCAGGGCGAUGGAGGAGAACAUCACCUGGCCUUCGCUGCUCUGCACCCCCAUGAUGACUGGGCGAGAGGGGGAGCUCUCACUCCAGCUCCGAGUUUCAGUUACGUGUUCGUGUCGUGUGUAUCUCACUCAAGCGUCUGUCUACUUCGCUCGGUGUGUGUGGGGGUUUUGCUUGCUGCUUGAAGGGGUGGUGGUCUUGGGCAUGUGCGUAUUUAUAAGCCGCAAAGUUUUGUCACGGCGCAGGGCGUCGUCUUGUGGUCGUCUUGCAAGUUGCGCCAAUUCUUUCAUCUUCAUCUUCCAUUAUGUGAUGCUAUGCCUGUUUGUGUGUUUUGUUUAUGGGCUGAUUGAAAAACAAAAGAGGCACUAUUGGUAUGAGAGAGAAUCUGGGAGGAGAAUGUCACGUCGCCCGAGAAAGGAAGUGGGAGGCGUGCAGGUGAGAGAAUAAGGGGCGUGGCGUGGGAGAGUCCAAGGAAAUGGGGCUGUGGACGCUUGCGCUUGUUCCGUUCCUGGCGGUGGGAAUCGCCGUGUGCCGUUGUGAUGUGCGGGGUGGCCAUGAUUGCGCCUCUGUUUGUCUGUCACCUUUUUCCCUUGCGCAUUGCUGCAGCAGCAGGGCAGGGGAGAGGUCUGCAUGCCCUGCCAUGCCCUGCCCUGCUGCUCGUACUAGCUCGCUACUACUCCCUUCCCCCUCUCCAUCCAAACGGGCACUGCGAGCUUUUCCUGGUCUAUAAUGGCGUCGUUGGAGCUGUAGUACGUGCUGUUCGUAGCAACUGUGGGCAGCGCUUUCAGGUGUGGAACUGUGCACUCCAUGAGCCAUUGUCUUCGUUUGCGUGUGUGAACGUGUUGGAGAGUCUGGGAGCAGAAAGUCUGCGUUGAACGUUACUUCUUUGGGUCUUUGACUGGUGCGUCCAUAGAUCUGUGAAUGGGAGCGCUGAUUGCACGCUGCGUAGUACAGUGCGUUCGAGUAACGCUGAGACGGCGUGCUGCUUUGAAGUUUCAACUUUUGGUUAAUUCAGGAAAGUUGAUUGAUCUUAUGUUUUUUGACGGCCAGGUAAACACGGCCAAUUGCACCGGCGUCAAAAAGACCUCUGUCAUCCGAUGCUUUGGACAGUAAUUGAGAUAUUCGUAACAAAUGCUUCACUACCCGAAGAGAAAACUAGUUUUCGUUGGUUUCCGCAUUUUGUGAAAAUAAGAAAGGGCAUGUUUGAGUCAGAGUCGGGUUAUUAUAAUUGGAUUAUCGACUCUAAUAAUUAGAGUGCUAGAUUUUUUGUGGUGGAACCUAUCCAUUUCUUGCCUAGCCAGCCAACUAUCAUGAUGCUACAUGGUAUUUAAGUAACGACCAUUUUCUCAAAUGGUCAAGGAUUAUAUUCUUCUUUGAUUUUUUUUUCCCUUCAAGUGGCCUAGGGUUUUGUAGUCUAAUGUGAACAAUAUCAGGUGAAAACAAAAUAGCAUCAAAGAAUAGAUAGCCAAAAUGCCUAACGAAAAGGAAAAUUGUGGGUUACAUGUCUCAUGAAUUAUUUGAUGAAGUAGAAUAAGAUACGUUCGGUUAUUUGAGAGAAAAAAAAACUGCACAACAUAAAAAAAUAACUGUUUGCCUAGUUGGCUAAGAAAAAAUAUAGUGGGCUCCAUGGCUCCUAAGACUCUUUAAAUAUCAUGUAAAUGGAUAUAAAAGAAGUCAAUAAAUCAUUCUGCUGAUAUUGACUGAAUUAUUUGCUAUCAACAAUUAUCCAAAAAAGAUUUCUUUAAGAAUAAUAUUUCUACCAUGUAAAACAAGAAGAAAAAGACAAAUUAAUCGGAACUUUUGUUUGUGGCUGGAACUAUUGUAAAUGUCAUUGUUGAGUUGAGAUAUUUUUUUUUUGAAGUUCCCUUUUUGCGAGGAAUGAGUAAUCUGAACGUUAUUUGUUUGUGGUUGUUGAUUCCCUGGAGCUGUUAUAGAAGUCAUUAUUGAGUAGAGAUUUUUUGAAGUUCCUUUUUGCAACGAAUGAGUAAAUAGUUGCAUAGAUGUUUGAUGGUAUUAGCAUACUCUGCUUCUAAAAUAAUGAAAGGGAUUUUCCGUUACUAUUUAGUUGUGGACUGAGGCCUGAAGAAGUAUGUUUUGAAACUCGGAAUUUCAUGGAGGAUUUGUAGGAAUCCCAUAUAUAAUAAACAUGUCAAAAUUAAUCCUCCUAUAUUUUCUUGGUCAUUUUCUAGAGCUAGGCUCAUUUAUCUUUAAUUUGUCUAGUGAAGAGUAUAUGUAUAUCCUUUGCUCCAAACAUGUAGUGGUGAGUGGAGUUUACUAAUAUUAUUAUGUGUAGUUAACCUAGAACUAGAAGCUUGGUAACUGAGCCUUAUCUAAUCUGGCCCUAAACUAACUUAUCAUCCAAACUGAUCAGUUGGAGUCUUGUGACGAUGAUAUCUCUGGUUUGUUGUGGAACGGGACUAGUACUGCCGGACAUAUUAUACAUUGGAUGCAUGCGACAUAUAUACAGUGUUGAACUUGUUUAUAUUAAUUUAUCCUGGAUAGCCAAUAGUAGCCCAUAACAUUAACAUGCAACAUAGUAUAUGCAUUUGCAUGUACUGCUAGUUCCCUGCUACGUACGAUCCUGACAGUAGGCACCUAAUCUUUCCAUGCCCCAAUAUUUUACCGCCGCUGUCGCUUCCAUUCUAGAGAGAGAACAAUAUGACCAUCUUGUAAAACAUUCUAGAGAAGAGAUGCAUGGAGAGUAUGGCAAUAAUUUAAGCAGAUUGAUGGGAGCGAGAUAUUUUUAAAGGCAGAUCAUCGAUUGAUGCAUGGGAGCGAGAGAGCUUAGCAGAGAAAAUAAAGAAGAUUGGUGAUUGGUGAUAGGCCGGGGCAGCCGUGGUGCAGCAGCAGCUAGAACUAGAGAAGCUAAAAGGAAGGCUGAUGGCAGGGCAGGGCAGUAGUUUAAGGACGGGUCCAUGCCUGCAGCUAGCUAGCAUCUAUCGACGUUCCUCCGUUGUCGCGGAGCCGGUGGACGCGAAUGGCAUGCGUGGGUGCACUACCCUGCUGAUGCACACAGCAUGCAUUGCUGCCUGCAUGCGACAUGGUAUACAGCUCCCGGCCGGCGUCUCUCCUCUCCUCUCUUCUCUUCUCUUGUCCAUCCAUCGGCAGCAUACGGUCGGUCACUCGCAGCAUGCAUGCUCCUCUGAUCGAGCUCUGCUGGUGUCGUGUCGUGUCGUCGAUGGAUCGGGGCCGGGUUGGGUGUUGCUGCAUUGCAUGCUCCCUAAAGCGCCGCCCUUGUUGCCAAAGUGAAUGCUGCCGACGACGACCGCCGCGCCGCCCGUCUUCUUUUUCGGCGGAGGGGGGCGGCCGGGCACGGGCACGGGCACGGCACAGUCUUCCGGGCAGGGGCAGGGGCAGCCGGGCAAGCCAACACCUGCUAGCGGACGAGAAAUUGAAUCGAAUGGGAAACAAAGAAAAAAUUGAUGGCUGAUGGCUCCAUCUUUCUUUCUGUCUGUCUGUCUGUCGGUCAGUCAUUUUACUAAUUUAUUUGACUGCGCUACGGAGACGACAGUGUAACAUUUUUAUUUGUAUUUAAUAAUUAUUAUUUAACUAUAGACUAAUUAGGCUCAAAAGAUUCGUCGCGUAAACUAUAGACAAACUGUGCAAUUAGUUUUUAUUUUCGUCUAUAUUUAGUACUUUAUACAUGUGCCACAAGAUUUGAUAUGACGGGAAAUUUUAAAAAGUUUUUGAAUUUCGAAGUGAACUGGUCAAAUAUGCAAUGCUUGUACGUGCGCACUAGUUUAUGCCAAUGAUUCAUUUUUCGCGGAUCCUCCGAAUUUCACACCAUACAGUCAGAAUAUAAUUGCUCCAAGACACGUCAAUUUUGAUGCGUCAAUUUGUGCAUGUGGUUCCUGGCACUACUGGAUCCGGCUUCUUUGCCGAGAGCCGCGAGCCCUCGGCAAAUGCCUAAAAGCCCUCGGCAAAGGCUUUGCCGAGGGCCAUAAACGCCCUCGGCAAAGCCUACGGCGCCGUCGAAAAACGUCAAUAUUGACGUCGUCUUUGCCGAGAGCCAUGCUGGCAGGCUCUCGGCAAAGAUUCUUUAUUUUUUUUAAAAAAAGCCUUUGCCGAGAGCCCUGCAGGAAGGCUCUCGGCAAAGAACCCCUUUGCCGAGAGCCAGACAUCCAGGCUCUCGGCAAAGAACCCCUUUGCCGAGAGCCAGACAUCCAGGCUCUCGGCAAAGCUGUAGUUCUUCUGAACCCGGCUUUCUAUCUUUGCCGAGUGCCAGCCAUCCAUGCUCUCGGCAAAGCUGAGAAUUUAGUUUUUUUUUCUGUUUUUUAUCUGUUUUUUACAUGCACAGCCACAUAUGUAUAUAUAUAUAUCACAAAUCCCUUUGUCUAUAUCACAAUCCACAUAUAUAUCACGCAUGAAACAUAUCGAAGUCCACAGAUAUCACAAAUCCACAUAGAUAUGACAAAUAUAACAUUACGUCCAACAUAAACCAUAAGUCACCACAAGUUCAUAACAUAAACCACAAGUCCACGUGAAUAUCACUCCUCGAAGUCGCUAGCGCCUCACCCCUAGUGCUGUGACUCUGACCUGUCGUCGCCGUGGCCUCCGUCGUGUCCCGAGCCUCCAUCUGGCCAAGCCGACCAGGGUGAGUGCCCCCCAGGGUGUGUAGAGCUCGCACCUGCCCACGGCGCCCACAUGGCCUGCCCUGGCACCGACGGGUACGGGUACGAGUACCCGGGGCGCGGAGGAGGGCUGCCGGACAACCCGGGGUGGCCGUGCUGCGGAUGGGCACCAGGCCACGUGUGCUGCGUACUUGGGUGGCCAUAAGUAGUAACCUGCCACCCACUCCUUGGAGAAGGGGUCGGGUUCGAACCCCACGACUGAUGCUACAUAAUAUAAAAGCGAACUCAUUAGUAUCUGCAGGACGGCCACACAAGCCAAAGCAAUAGACAAACAUAUAUACACUCACCGGACUGCCUGCAGGGGCAGGAACAGGGGGUGGAACAGGGGGUGGAGCGAAGAGCGAGGCAGGCAGCGGAGGCGCUGUAGAGCUGUGGAUGGACUGGAAGUAUCCGACUAGGUCCGAGAUCUGACGCUGCGUGUGCUGCUGCUGUGCCUCCAUGUGGCGCCGAUGGGCCUCGUCUCUGGCCGCCAGCGCGGCCGCCAGCUCUCGCCGAUGAGCCUCCUGCAGCUCGUCCUGCCUGGCCCGCAACUCCUCUAGCUGCGACUGCAAUAUUACACCCGCAAUGGUUAAACAAUGCAAAAGGAGAUGUAUAUAUGUAAAAAUAAUGGACGAUGGAUAAAGCUGUAGUUACCUGCAUCGUAGCUAUCUGCUGCACGGAGCUCGGCUGACGAGGCCGUAUGGGGACGUCGGAGGUCGAGCUGCUCCCCUGCCGAACCUCGCGGAGCGUGGGUACGGUGGCCGGGUUGAUUGCGCUGUGGGCAAUCAUGUACCGGCCGUGCUGCUUCCCUCCUCCCGUCCUCAUGAGCAAGUCCGUGUCCGAGACCCUUUGCCGUGGGCCGUCCAGUCUGGCUCUCGGCAAAGACCCUUUGCCGUGAGCCUAACGCGCAGGCUCUCGGCAAAGAACUGCUGACUUUUUUUAUUCUUUUUGAAUUUAGAGCUGAGUUUUUUUUUUUGUCCUUGUGACUCAAUUUCUAAAUACAUUUUAAAAUUUGGCAUUAAUUUGACUUUUUUUGCUAUAUUUAACUAAUUAAUCUUGUUUCUUUAUAUUUUUUCACAUAAUUCAAAUUUCAACUGUAGGUACAUGAAAUAUUACAACUCAAUGAUUCGAAAAAUGAUAGUCAAGAUAUUUGGUGUACGUUGAGGUCGUAACCACAACCACACAUGAAAUCUCAACCCUCUCGCUAACAUAACAUGUCAAGGAAUGUGAGGGAAAAUGGAUUUAUAAUUAUAUAAAUUUCAAAUAAACUCCAAAAAUCACGAAACUUGGCGACGUGUCGUGUUAUCGCAUGUGGAGGCUGUGGUAAAAAAUUCAUAAGGUUCCGAGCAAGUUGCGACACCGGAUGUCUAAAACCCAGACAUCUCCACAUGUUAUCGAAUGUGAUCACAUGCGGAGAUGUCUGGGUUUUAGACAUCUCGUGUCGCAACUUACUCGAAACCUUAUGAUUUUUUUACCACAGUCUCCACAUGCCAUAACAUGACACAUCGUCAAGUUUCGUGAUUUUUGGACUUCAUUUGGAAUUUAUAUAAUUAAAAAUCACUUGUACGACACAUGGAUGGUCAUGUUUUAUAUACAAGAAAUUCAAACUCUUGGGUGAGUUUAUGGAUACAACAUCAAAAUGCAGUCUUGAACAUGAGUAUAAUUUUUUGAAUGACUAUAUUUUAUUAUUUCAUGCUCCUACAGUUCAAAAUUACUUUUUCGAGAAAAAUACAAAUAAAAUAAUUUAAUUAAAAAAUAUAGCAAAAUGUUAUAAAAAGCUCUCAAAUUUGAACAUGUGCUUAUAUACAAUAUGUAAGGGUUACAGAAAAAGUUUGAGUACAAAACUAAAAAAAAUCUUUCUUCUUUGCCGAGAGCUUGACAAGGCACUUGGCAAAGGCCUCCUCUUUGCCGAGAGCCUAACGCCGUGGCUCUCGGCAAAGGUGACGACAACGGUUGCCGUUACCAGCGCUGCUCCUUUGCCGAGAGCCUAUCUUUGCCGAGAGCUAGGCUGUCGGCAAAGCUAGCCUUUGCCGAGGGCUUGCCUUUGCCGAGAGCUUGACCAUCGGUAAAGUUUCUUUGCCGAGGGUCGUUUCUGACUGUCGGCAAAGGCAGUCUUUGCCGAGGGCUAGCUCUCGGCAAAGCUGAGCCCUCGGCAAAGCUCUCGUUUCCUGUAGUGUGGGCUUUGAAUUGAUCGAUGGCAAAAAGCCGUAAUGGAAGCACGUCGCGUCUUGAAUGCAUGCACUAUAUAGGAAUAUAGCUACACAAAAGAAGAGAAAUAAUGACACACAUAGUAGUAGCUAGCUAGUAAAGUGUGUAUGUAAGGCCUUGUUUAGUUCCCAGAAAAUUUUGCAAAAUUUUUCACGGUCCCCGUCACAUCGAAUCUUUAAACGCAUACAUAAAGUAUUAAAUAUAGACGAAAAUAAAAACUAAUUGCACAGUUUGGUCGAAAUAGACGAAACGAAUCUUUUGAGCCUAGUUAGUCCAUGAUUGGAUAAUAUUUGUCAAAUACAAACGAAAGUGCUACAGUGUCGAUUUUGCAAAAUUUUUCGGAACUAAACAAGGCCUAAACCUAAAAGCCCAUGCAUUAUUGCUUUUUAAAAAGUUAAAGCGGUGAUGGAUGGUUUUGUUCAUGGCUCGAGGAGGAUGUGUCCUAGCUAGUUGUUGGUGGGGGAGGUGAGAGUACCUAGGAAAAUUUGCUUACAUUUUCCUGUACAUGCAUGCAUGCAACGCUAAUUGGAUGGAUAUGGUCGGAACAUGCAUGGGUCCACCAUUCACAUCUCUUGGUCCUACACGCACGCCUACUAUUGUGAUGCGUCUCAGCUUUUUAAUGUGCCUGCGUUGCAUGCAUGCAGCUGGGUACGUAAGGACACGCCGCAAGCUGCCCAAACUCUAGCUCUGCUUCCCGCAUUGCAUUGCAUUGUAUCUACCUCGUGGCGCAUUAGGGUUAGAGAGAGAGAGAGAGAGAGAGAGAGAGAGAGAGAGAGAGAGAGAGAGAGAGAGAGAGAGAAGUGUGGUAUAGCUAGCAUGCAUCCAUAUAUAUCCGAUCGACCUGUAGUUCAUGGCACAUUCAUUAGGUUUGGAAGAGUGAGAUCGAGGCAGGACGAUAUGUAGUACGUCGUCGUCCUUCGUAUAAACGGACAUUCGCUCAAUGUUGAAUUGUUGACAGACGACGAUGCGCGCGGCACUUUGUUUGACCAUGCAUGCAUUCAUCCGUGCAUGCAUGGAGCGUCUAUGUGCUUGUCCCUGAAUAAACUAAUUAAUCACUGCACGAACUCGAUCGCCUUGCUGUCAACUUAGCUUAGCUUAUUACAAGUGUGUUAACGACAAGCAAUCAUGGAAAUGAGCUGCAUAUAGACACUGUUCACAAUGCACGUUAUGUUGGAGCACUAGCUAUAGCUAAUUAAUGAGCCAGCAAUUAACAAAACGCCUGCUAAACCAAAAUAUGCAUUUAAGCCAUGUUUCGUUUCCUCCGGUAAAGUUUAACUCCUGUCAUAUCGAGUGUUUGGACACAUGCAUUAAAUAUUAAAUAUAAAUUAUUUACAAAACUAAAAUAAAACUAGAGAGUAAUUUGCGAAAUAAAUCUUUUAAAUCUAGUUAGUCUAUAAUUAGAUACUAAUUGUCAAAUAAAACAGAAAUAUGCUAUAUGCUACAGUACAUCCUUAACCGGCAAGUACAGGCCGGGUGAGGCAUGUCGGAUGCUAGAGAUGGCCAAAUGGGCUAAGCCCAAUAAUACGCAGCCUAAGCACAUAUGGGCCUACUAAAGCAUCGCAUUACAUUAUGGGUCGAGCCACUAUGUGUCUCGUGCCCUUUUUUACCAUUCAAAAUGGGUGCUCUCAGGAUGGAUCAUAAUUAUGCCCCUUUUUAAUUCGAGAGCAAUGUUGAUCAAAUUUCGUCGUAGUUGCAGCACAGCCAAAAAAAAAAACUAACAAAAAGAGCCUGUCAGACAACCCAUGGGCCAUCCCAGCCAGGCAAGCCUGGCCGGAAACGAUCAUCUACAGCACCGGACAAAGCGUCAGAGCCAAUCCUGGCCGUUAAUCACGCUCUGGCCCACAGGUCAUGGCUCAUCAACCAGGCUUAAGUGCUUGCCUCCUUAUUAAUCAAGGAUGCAGCGGUACGAUCCUAUAGAACAGAUCCUGUUCAAGUAAGGUCGU